UUUAUAUGAGAGUUUGAUCCUGGCUCAGGAUGAACGCUGGCGGCGUGCCUAAUACAUGCAAGUCGAACGAGUUCUCGUUGAUGAUCGGUGCUUGCACCGAGAUUCAACAUGGAACGAGUGGCGGACGGGUGAGUAACACGUGGGUAACCUGCCCUUAAGUGGGGGAUAACAUUUAGGAAACAGAUGCUAAUACCGCAUAGAUCCAAGAACCGCAUUGGUUCUUUCGGGCUUAGG
rnacentral:rRNA from 1 species